UUAUUUAACAGUGGCUGUCGGUUUUAGGCAGGAGAGUGCGAUAUUGGAUAUUGGAUAUUGGAUAUUGGAUAUUGGAAUAGAAAAGAAAAAGGCGGCCAAGCAAGAGAGACUCCGUCGCCGCGAACUACGGUGACGCGGCUCUCAUUCAGCUCCAACCGAUGAAGAUCGCCGACGUCAAGGACUGGACGGAGGUCGGAGCUCUGACGGAGGCGUUGAAGGACCAGAAGGUUCUGAUACGCGGCCGCACGCAGACGAUCCGAGCCUUGAGAAAGGUGGCGUUUAUUGUGGUCAGAAAGAAGGGGUUCACGGUUACCCGAAGGAAGAAUAAAACGAGGUGCAGAAUAAGUCUACUGCAGUAGUAAAAACCAUAACCAAUCUACUCCCAAGUUACAGGAUUGGCCCUUACCCGAUGACAGAAUUUCCAUCACCUGAAGCUUUGUAACAUCAGAUUCCAGUGGGUUUGGACAAGGAACAGAUUUUUGGUAUGGCAGAGAAGGAGAUGGACUAGAGGGUUGAGUUGUUCAACAAACAGGAAGCCCUCAUUAUUAUUAUAAUUUGGACAAUCAUAUCCAUCUGUUCAAGGGAAGUAGCGCAAGGUGGAGAGAUUCCUCCUGAGAUCGGAAAGAUGAGCAGCUUGGAAGUUUUUGUUGGAUCUUUUGGAUUGCUUGCUUUUGGUUCAGACAGUUUUGUGAUUUGUGGGUUAUAGUUUGAAAAGGUACUGUAAUCGGUUUUCCAGGUUUCAUGCUUUGUGCAGGAUCACAACUUCUGGACCUUCAUAGUGUGAGUUCAUAUCUACAGAACUAACAGAAGAGUAUUUCUGUUUUCAGGGAAACUGGACUUUGGAACAUGCAAAGCUCAAAGCUAGGGUGUUUUACAGAGAAAUCAAAGUCAUUUUAUUGGGGGAGGACCUCCUAUCGUUAAGUAUGAAAGAGCUUCAGAAUUUGGAGCAGCAACUUGAUUCUGCUCUAAAACACUAGAUUGCUUAAUUGGGAAUUGUUUGAAAUGCUGGCUGGAAAGUGAAAUCACCAGAACUUGGAGCUGUCAUCAUUGGUGGUUUUAUAGGACUGAAAUUUUGGUACACUUCCUGAGACAGAACUAAGUUCUCCACCUCGAGUUCCCUCUAUCUUGGGAUUGCAGUUGGUGAUGGCUUCCGUUACUGUAAUUGACAAUGCUAACUCCCGCAGCAAAGCGCGGCAACUACUACUAGUUGCAUCUAAUUAAAGAAGCAGAGGUCACUUCUCAAGAAGCCACGAGGCUUGGCGGUGGAGAUAUGUCUAAAAUAUGCAGAUAGCUUCACACAUAUGUUUGUCAAAGUCAAAUAUAAUUGAACACAUUUGCUGCAAGUCAAAGCAACAUAAAUAAUGAUUUGUUAAAUGUACUGCAAGCUUGAGACAACACAAGUUUAAUUAAGCUUUCCACCUUAAGCAUAAGGCGGUGCCAUGAUUUGACAAUGCAAGAAGACAAAAAUAGUUAGGGCUGGCAAAUCCUCCCGAGACAAACCAGCCAACCGAGUACCAACCGAACCGAAAAUGUUGGUUACCGAAAAUGUCGGCUACCGAAGUAUUGGUACGGUAGUGCCGAACCGAGAGGAACAUAUUGGUACGGUACUGGUAUUGAUUUGAAGAUAAAUACGGUAUACCGUACCGUACCGUAUAUUAUAUAUAUUUAAAUAUAUUUUAUAUCUAUCGAUCUAAACCGUUGAUUAUUAAUAGUUUUAUUUCAUAUUAAAUUAUAACCGUCGAUUAGACUAUAACCCAGACUGCUCAGCCACUCUUUCCCUCAGCCCCUCGAGGCCUCGAAGGCUUGAGGCUCGAACCGAGCCCUUUCUCUCAAACUCAAUCACUCAAACCCUCUCCGGCUCUCGAUUCGAUUCAAACCCAGAACUCUUCGAUUCGAUUCGAGGCCUCGAAGGCUUGAAGUUCGAUUCGAUAAAAGCUUCAAACCCAGAAAAUCUUGUAUCUAAUCAGAGAUUCAUGGCCUACGGCCGAAGUUCGAUUCGAUUCUAACCUAGAACUCUUCGCCUCUCGACCUCUCCUUUGAAGUUCGAUUCGAUUCAAAGCUUCAAACCCAGAAAUCUCGUAUCAAUUCAUUCGAUUCAUGGCCUACGGCCGUUAAUCACUUAAUCU